rnacentral:rRNA from 1 species
AGCCCGCUCAGAAACUCAAAGGAAUUGACGGGGGCCCGCACAAGCGGUGGAGUAUGUGGUUUAAUUCGAUGCAACGCGAAGAACCUUACCUGGUCUUGACAUCCCGGAGACCCUUAGGAAACUAGGGGGUGCUUCCAUCUGGAAGAAUCUGGAGACAGGUGCUGCAUGGCUGUCGUCAGCUCGUGUCGUGAGAUGUUGGGUUAAGUCCCGCAACGAGCGCAACCCUUGCCUUUAGUUGCCAGCAGUUCGGCUGGGCACUCUAAAGGGACUGCCGGUGUUAAACCGGAGGAAGGUGGGGAUGACGUCAAGUCCUCAUGGCCUUUAUGACCAGGGCUACACACGUACUACAAUGGCCGAUACAAAGGGCAGCGACACUGCGAGGUGAAGCCAAUCCCGUAAAAUCGGUCUCAGUCCGGAUUGGAGUCUGCAACUCGACUCCAUGAAGUUGGAAUCGCUAGUAAUCGUGGAUCAGCAUGCCACGGUGAAUACGUUCCCGGGCCUU